rnacentral:rRNA from 1 species
AGUGAACGCUGGCGGUAGGCCUAACACAUGCAAGUCGAACGGCAGCACAGUAAGAGCUUGCUCUUACGGGUGGCGAGUGGCGGACGGGUGAGGAAUGCAUCGGAAUCUACUUUUUCGUGGGGGAUAACGUAGGGAAACUUACGCUAAUACCGCAUACGACCUACGGGUGAAAGCAGGGGAUCUUCGGACCUUGCGCGAUUGAAUGAGCCGAUGUCGGAUUAGCUAGUUGGCGGGGUAAAGGCCCACCAAGGCGACGAUCCGUAGCUGGUCUGAGAGGAUGAUCAGCCACACUGGAACUGAGACACGGUCCAGACUCCUACGGGAGGCAGCAGUGGGGAAUAUUGGACAAUGGGCGCAAGCCUGAUCCAGCCAUACCGCGUGGGUGAAGAAGGCCUUCGGGUUGUAAAGCCCUUUUGUUGGGAAAGAAAAGCAGCAGGUUAAUACCCCGCUGUUCUGACGGUACCCAAAGAAUAAGCACCGGCGAACUUCGU